GGGUCGUACGAUGGGACUAGGUGUGGGGGAAUUCCACGUUCUCCGCGCCGUAGCUAACGCAUUAAGUGCCCCGCCUGGGGAGUACGGUCGCAAGGCUAAAACUCAAAGGAAUUGACGGGGGCCCGCACAAGCGGCGGAGCAUGCGGAUUAAUUCGAUGCAACGCGAAGAACCUUACCAAGGCUUGACAUACACUGGACCGUUCUGGAAACAGUUCUUCUCUUUGGAGCUGGUGUACAGGUGGUGCAUGGUUGUCGUCAGCUCGUGUCGUGAGAUGUUGGGUUAAGUCCCGCAACGAGCGCAACCCUCGUUCUAUGUUGCCAGCACGUGAUGGUGGGAACUCAUAGGAGACUGCCGGGGUCAACUCGGAGGAAGGUGGGGAUGACGUCAAAUCAUCAUGCCCUUUAUGUCUUGGGCUUCACGCAUGCUACAAUGGCUGGUACAGAGAGAGGCGAACCCGUGAGGGUAAGCGAAUCCCUUAAAGCCAGUCUCAGUUCGGAUCGUAGUCUGCAAUUCGACUACGUGAAGUCGGAGUCGCUAGUAAUCGCAGAUCAGCAACGCUGCGGUGAAUACGUUCCCGGGCCUUGUACACACCGCCCGUCAAGUCACGAAAGUCGGUAACACCCGAAGCCGGUGUCCCAACCCACUUGUGGGAGGGGGCCGUCUAAGGUGGGACUGGUGAUUGGGACUAAGUCUCAAAAAAAGUACCCAAA
rnacentral:rRNA from 1 species